rnacentral:rRNA from 1 species
GGGUCAGGAGGUUGGUCGUGCCACCGGUACGUACUGGUCUCACUGAUUCCUCCUUCCUGAAGAACCGUAAUGCCAUUAAUUUGGUGUUGCGGGGAAACAGGACUGUUACUUUGAAAAAAUUGGAGUGUUUAAAGCAAGCUAACGCUUGAAUACAUUAGCAUGGAAUAAUGAAAUAGGACGAUCGAUCCUAUUUUGUUGGUUUCUAGGAUUGACGUA